rnacentral:rRNA from 1 species
GAUGAACGCUGGCGGCGUGCCUAAUACAUGCAAGUCGAGCGAACAGACGAGGAGCUUGCUCCUCUGACGUUAGCGGCGGACGGGUGAGUAACACGUGGAUAACCUACCUAUAAGACUGGGAUAACUUCGGGAAACCGGAGCUAAUACCGGAUAAUAUAUUGAACCGCAUGGUUCAAUAGUGAAAGACGGUUUUGCUGUCACUUAUAGAUGGAUCCGCGCCGCAUUAGCUAGUUGGUAAGGUAACGGCUUACCAAGGCAACGAUGCGUAGCCGACCUGAGAGGGUGAUCGGCCACACUGGAACUGAGACACGGUCCAGACUCCUACGGGAGGCAGCAGUAGGGAAUCUUCCGCAAUGGGCGAAAGCCUGACGGAGCAACGCGGCGGGAGUGAUGAAGGUCUUCGGAUCGUAAAACUCUGUUAUUAGGGAAGAACAAAUGUGUAAGUAACUAUGCACGUCUUGACGGGACCUAAUCAGAAAGCCACGGCGAACUACGU